GAUGAAGAACGCAGCGAAAUGCGAUAAGUAAUGUGAAUUGCAGAAUUCAGUGAAUCAUCGAAUCUUUGAACGCACCUUGCGCCCUUUGGCUAUUCCAGAGGGCAUGCCUGUUUGAGUAUCAUGAACACCUCAACUCUCAUGGUUCUGCCAUGAUGAGCUUGGACUUUGGAGGUCUUGCUGGCCCCUGUGGUCAGCUCCUCUCAAAUGGAUCAGCUUGCCAGUGUUUGGUGGCAUCACAGGUGUGAUAACUAUCUACGCUUGUGGUUUUCCACCAGGUAACCUUCAGUGAUGGAGGUUCGCUGGAGCUCAUAAACGUCUCUCCUCAGUGAGGACAGCUUCUUGAAUGUUUGAUCUCAAAUCAGGUAGGGCUACCCGCUGAACUUAAGCAUAUCAAUAAGCGGAGGA
rnacentral:misc_RNA from 1 species